rnacentral:rRNA from 1 species
ACGGGUGAGGAAUACAUCGGAAUCUACCUUUUCGUGGGGGAUAACGUAGGGAAACUUACGCUAAUACCGCAUAAGACCUUCGGGUGAAAGUGGGGGACCUUCGGGCCUCACGCGGAUAGAUGAGCCGAUGUCGGAUUAGCUUGUUGGCGGGGUAAAAGCCCACCAAGGCGACGAUCCGUAGCUGGUCUGAGAGGAUGAUCAGCCACACUGGAACUGAGACACGGUCCAGACUCCUACGGGAGGCAGCAGUGGGGAAUAUUGGACAAUGGGCGCAAGCCUGAUCCAGCCAUACCGCGUGGGUGAAGAAGGCCUUCGGGUUGUAAAGCCCUUUUGUUGGGAAAGAAAUCCUGUUGGUUAAUAACCAGUAGGGAUGACGGUACCCAAAGAAUAAGCACCGGCUAACUUCGUGCCAGCAGCCGCGGUAAUACGAAGGGUGCAAGCGUUACUCGGAAUUACUGGGCGUAAAGCGUGCGUAGGUGGUUGUUUAAGUCUGCUGUGAAAGCCCUGGGCUCAACCUGGGAAUUGCAGUGGAUACUGGGCGACUAGAGUGUGGUAGAGGAUAGUGGAAUUUCCGGUGUA